GCCCCCACCUGUGAAGGCCAGGAAAUGAGAACCCUGAUGCAGAGAUGCCAGCCAUCCUCCAGUGACUCCCUCCCUCAUCUUAUCCCCUAGUCUUCUCCUCCCACCCCCUACCAUCUCCCCACCAAGGUCUCCAGCUGCUGUGCUCACCGUACAGUUAUACUUGAUGCAGUCAUCCCAGAAUCGAGAGGCAGAGAACUUCUUUCGGAUCACCACAGUCAUCCCGUGUAGCAGACACUGUCCAACCCCCACAAUGUUCCCUGGCUCAGAAGAUGGAGGACCAGCCCCAGGCAAGGAAGAUUCCAUCCAUCCACCCCUACUCCACUCCUUUCAUGAGAGGGCAAAAGGACCUUCCCAAAGUGGGUCCCUAAGAGCCUAA